UACGGAGGGUGCAAGCGUUAUCCGGAUUCACUGGGUUUAAAGGGUGCGUAGGAGGGCAGGUAAGUCAGUGGUGAAAUCUCCAAGCUUAACUUGGAACUGCCGUUGAUACUAUCUGUCUUGAAUAUUGUGGAGGUGAGCGGAAUAUGUCAUGUAGCGGUGAAAUGCUUAGAUAUGACAUAGAACACCAAAUUGCGAAGGCAGCUCGCUACACAUAUAUUGACUCUGAGGCACGAAAGCGUGGGGGAUCAAACAGG
rnacentral:rRNA from 1 species